rnacentral:rRNA from 1 species
UACGAGGGGGGCAAGCGUUGUUCGGAUUUAUUGGGCGUAAAGAGCGUGUAGGCGGCCAGGUAGGUCUGCUGUGAAAACUCGAGGCUCAACCUCGAGAUGUCGGCGGAAACCAUCUGGCUAGAGUCCGGAAGAGGAGAAUGGAAUUCCCGGUGUAGCGGUGAAAUGCGCAGAUAUCGGGAAGAACACCCGUGGCGAAGGCGGUUCUCUGGGACGGUACUGACGCUGAGACGCGAAAGCGUGGGGAGCGAACAGG